rnacentral:lncRNA from 1 species
GCUUUCAGUCCUAACCUAUGAAGUGUGGGAAAAAUAUCUUUCACAAGAGGCGUGGUUACAAAUGAAUAACAUGUUCUUUCUGUUGAGUAACAAGGAGGACAUCUGAUUCCGUUGCAAGUUUUUCUUUUUGAAGAUGUCAGGCCACAUUUGCGCAACUGGUACAGUUGACCUGGGAGGUAUUUACCACGAAGAGAAAUAAUUCAUCCAUCUAAACGUUCUUGGCCUGGAUAUUGUCGUCUGCAGCCUGACUGUAUUGUUACCACCCUCAUACGAAAGAAGCUCUCGAAUGGACUUCCCUGAAGGAGGCCUUGUGUAUGAAUGGACAAGGGAGAGAGGAACGGUAGUGUUACAAAGAAAAGACCCUCUCAUGAGUUCAGAGCUGAAACUUUCCUUUCAUUAUUGGGAUGAAAUGAAGACAGGAACCUGUUGUCACAAUAACCUGAUACAGAUGAACAAAAGUGAACGAAAAUGUUCAAAAUAGGGGCUUUUUUAUAGGUGAUGUAGAUAUUGUGGGCCUGAAUAUUAACGUAUAUACAGUAGAGCAAACAUUCUAUAAACUGUGUAAGAGGCCUGGACAAAAACAUACUUUUGAACAUGAAUGUUAAAUUAAACUAUCUGCCCUGUCUACCUCACAGUGCUCUGUCUAAGCUUUAUCAAGGUGGAAAGUUUUUAAUGAAUGAACAAUUUUAACAAAAUGUUUAAUGAGAGUAAUAAAGUAUAGGAACAGCUACAUGAAAUUUUGCGUGACAAGUAAUAUAUUUUCUAUUACUUUUUUGUUAUUAUUAUUAACAGGAAAUAAGAAUUAUACAAGAUAGGGUAUUUUUUGCCUAAAUAGUUUAAACUUAAAUUAGUUUUCAUUGAAUGUUUCAAGUCAGAGAAAUGAGUUUCCCAUUUAACUGUAAAAAAUGUUAUAUUUGACUGGAUGAAAAAUUUACAACGUGUCCUGGCUGUUUAAUUCAGUGAUACCCGUUUAUUAAAAAAAAC